UACGGGAGGCAGCAGUGGGGAAUAUUGCACAAUGGGCGAAAGCCUGAUGCAGCUAUGCCGCGUGUAUGAAGAAGGCCUUAGGGUUGUAAAGUACUUUCAUCGGGGAGGAAAAACAAAACUAAUAAUUUUAUUUCUUGACGUUACCCGAAAAAGAAGCACCGGCUAACUCCGUGCCAGCAGCCGCGGUAAUACGGAGGGUGCUAGCGUUAAUCAGAAUUACUGGGCGUAAAGAGCACGUAGGUGGUUUUUUUAAAGUCAGAUGUGAAAUCCCUGGGCUUAACCUAGGAACUGCAUUUGAAACUGAAAUACUAGAGUAUCGUAGAGGGAGGUAGAAUUCUAGGUGUAGCGGUGAAAUGCGUAGAUAUCUGGAGGAAUACCUGUGGCGAAAGCGGCCUCCUAAACGAAUACUGACACUGAGGUGCGAAAGCGUGGGGAGCAAACAGGGAUUAAGAUACC
rnacentral:rRNA from 1 species